rnacentral:rRNA from 1 species
AUGGCCAGGGCAAGGCCGCCGAUCCAAGCUACGGCGAUCCUCCUGGCGACGUGGUGCCUCGUCUUCCUCCGUAGCUCGUCAGCCCCAGCCGUGCCUGCACUCCGGCCACCGCCACCACCAUCAGCGCCGGGAGCGGGAGGCGCCCUCUGCAUCCCCCGCGAGCGAGAUGCGCUUCUCGCCUUCAAGGCCGGCCUCACCGAUCCGACCAACUACCUUUCGUCGUGGCGGGCCGAGGAGGACUGCUGCGGGUGGAUGGGCGUCGGGUGCAGCAACCAGACCGGCCACGUCAUCAAGCUCCAGGUCAACAGCUACAACCAUGGUACGCUUGUGGAGGGAAACAUAGGAGGUGAGAUAAACCCCUCUUUGCUCAAUCUCCGACAUCUGAAGCACCUAGACCUCUCAUCCAACUACUUCGGUGGGAGAUCCAUUCCUGAAUUCAUCGGUGGCCUCCGGAGCCUGACUCAUCUCGACCUCAGUGAUUCGUUCUUCGGUGGGCGAAUCCCUCCCCACCUUGGGAACCUUUCAAAUCUAGUCAGUCUGGACCUCUCGAGUCAACUACCGGGUUGUUACUCACCUGAUCUUUCAUGGAUGUCGCGAUUGCGGAAGCUACAGUACCUCAUCAUGUCCGCGGUGAACCUUAGUGCUUCCAUCGACUGGACCCAUACUGUCAACAUGCUUCCCUCUCUGGUAAUCCUUGACCUAGCAUUUUGUGGGCUUCGGAACAUUAUGCCUCCACCGUUGCACUCCAACCUUACAUCACUAGAGGUCUUCUGUCUCGAGUCCAACCCCUUUAACUCAUCCUUGGGAGCCCACCACUUGGUUUGGGAUCUACCGAUGCUUCGACAUUUAAGUAUGUAUGACUGCAGAAUCCAAGGUCCUAUACCUGCUGCAGUUGGAAACAUGACCUCCAUUCAACACAUGAUUCUGAUGGGAAACAACUUCAUGGGCAUGGUGCCAUCAACAUUCAAGAAACUCAAAAGACUAAAAGUGCUCAUGCUAUCAAAAACCUCCAUUAGCGGAAGCACAGAAGAUCUAUUUCAUAGACUGCCAGCAUAUGGGUUACAGGAGUUGUACUUGGAUUACAACAAUCUGACUGGGGGCCUUCCAAAUCGACUAGAGGAUUUUAGUAGCUUGACCACACUUUGGCUCAAUAAUAACGAUCUAUCCGGAGAGAUACAAGUUGGUAUACGGAAACUUACAAAACUGAAGGAGUUACUGGUGAACUCAAACAACCUGCUUGGUACACUUACCGAACACCAUUUCACAAAUCUGAGUAGCCUACAGGUCUUGUGGAUCUCUGAUAAUUCCUUAACUAUACUGGUCAACAACACAUGGAACGCUCCAUUCAAAUUAACUUCACGAGGCUUUAGAUCUUGCAUCCUAGUGCCCCAAUUUCCAAUAUGGGUUGUCAGGUCAAGAAUCAACACUCUUCACUACAGGAAUCAGCUUCUUUGCCAUCAGCCAUGGCGGACGGCAAAGACACGGACGGCGGACGGCAAAGAGCUUUGCCGUCAGCCGCGGACGGCAAACAGCUCCGGCAAAGACAGCGUCGGCAAACACCUUAUUUGUCGUCUGCUUUUUGUAGCGGACGGCAAAGAGGCCUUUGUCGUAAGUGGCGGACGGCAAAGAAGGUGUACGGCAAAUAGUAGGUGUUAG